UAAAGUGAGAGUUCGAUCCUGGCUCAGGAUGAACGCUGGCGGCGUGCCUAACACAUGCAAGUCGAACGGAGUUAUUCGCUGAUGAAGCUUCGGCAGAAUCUUGAAUAACUUAGUGGCGGACGGGUGAGUAACGCGUGGGUAACCUGCCUCAUACAGGGGGAUAGCAGUUGGAAAC
rfam:Butyrivibrio fibrisolvens DSM 3071 genome assembly, contig: EJ22DRAFT_scaffold00019.19